CUGCGCUCGACCGCUCCGUCGCUUCUUCAAAAGUCUGCGCAUCUCUUUUCACACAAACUCCACUCGCAACCCGAGUCAGGAUGUGGUCGCACGCGCUCCCGUUCCUUCUCUGCAUGGCUCAGCUGAUCGCAGGUUCUUCUGCCGAGGAUUUUGUGACGCAGACGGACAGAGUCAAGGCCGUUUCUCUUGGGGGCACGGUGACCAUCGGCGCCACGGGGAGUUCAAACAUUGGAGCUGAUCUCAGUUGGUACCAAGUGAAACCUGGGCAGGCUCCCAAACUCCUCAUCUACGACGCAACCGAGCUCUUCUCUGGCACGCCAUCUCGAUUCAGCGGCACACGAUCCGGCUCCGACUACACUCUGACCAUCAGAGGUGUCCAGGCGGAAGACGUGGCUGAUUAUUACGCUUUUGCCGAUUACGGCCCCGGAAGGUACACACGGUGAUUCGGAGGUGCACAAAAACCUCUUUUGGACAUUGUGAGAAGUGAAAGUGGCCUGCGGAAGGUGGCAAGAAGAAGACACUCUGAUUGAUGAGCAUGACUGGUCAUCAAACAAAAUUUCCUGGAUCACUGAAGCAAACUGACAAACACUACUUGUUUUUAAACAUGAUUGUCUUUCAACGUGAACUAUUUUUAUGUUACCUUGUGUGUGUGUGUGUGUGUGUGUGUGUGUGUGUGUGUGUGUGUUGCUCUAUUAUGAUCUGUUAUUAUUAUUAGCUGUGAUUAUAUUAUAUGAUGGACCACAAAUUGUAGUUAUUUGUCAUCACCAAGGGUCAUUUUGAUUUUGGGAUUGAAAUCAACAAAUUCAACUCAACCGAAUUUAAUAUCACAUCUUUUUUAGCAUAAAUGUGCAGUUAUGAUCAUUGUUUGUCCUUGCUCAAAGAUGCAACUCUAUUACGUUAUGUAUUAUGAUAUAAGACAUGGCGCGGGCCACAUUUUAGUUACCGUUUCACUUGGAGGGCCGCUAUGACUGAAACCAUAAAACAGAAAUCAAGAAUAACUGUUGAUUUAAAUAUUGUUUCAGUUACUACCAUGAGGGUUUGGUCACCAAAAAAUGCUCAGAAUAUAUCUCUUAAAAAAU